GACGAACGCUGGCGGCGUGCCUAAUACAUGCAAGUCGAACGCAGUGGGGACGGGUGAGUAACACGUGGGUAACCUCCCAUCAGAGGGGAUAACACUUGGAAACAGGUGCUAAACCGAUACUGAUGGAUGGACCCGCGGUGCAUUAGCUAGUUGGUGAGGUAACGGCUCACCAAGGCCACGAUGCAUAGGCGGCCUGAGAGGGGAAGCGGCCACACUGGCACUGAGACACUGCCCAGACUCCUACGGGAGGCAGCAGUAGGGAAUCUGCGGCAAUGUACGAAAGUCUGACCUAGCAACUUCGCGUGGAUGAAGAAGUUUGUCGGAUGGGAACACUCGGUUGUCAGAGAAGCGGUAUCUAACCAGAAAGCCACGGCUAACUACGUGCCAGCAGCCGCGGGAAUUC
rnacentral:rRNA from 1 species